UUUUAAUGUUUUUCAGAUUUUAAUGAUUGUAUUUAUAUGCAUGUGGUGUCCUCAGGUCUUACAUGAACUAAUUUAUAUGCAUGUGGUGUCUGCAGAUCUUACAUGAACUAAUACGACGCCCCAACUAGAUUAUGUGGAGCAAGAAAGAAGUGGCAUCAAAUCUAGAUGUCGUAACAGAUGUGUAUGAUUUCCUCCAUUUGGUAAGCACCAUUUCUAGUGAAAAAGAAGUAAGCAAUGAAUGUCUAGGUGCAGAUGUUGAUGAAAAAGAAGUAAGCAAUGAAGCAGCCCAUUCAAUCUGAUCAAUCUACUCCCUGGGGAGGUUGGAAAUCAAAUGAUGUGUACAACAAUUCAGGAUGUUGUUUGAAUUACUUGUCCUAACAGGUGCACAAGUUGGGAUGGAUUGGACUUCUAUCUUGAGAAAACGCCGUGAUUUCAGGUAGUUAUUAUUGUAAUGGAAAGUUAAAAAAUUAAGAGAGAGAGAGAGAUAAUGAAUUCAUGGAAAGAAAUGUUCUUUAUCAUUAGGGCUGCUUUCGCCGGGUUUGAUGCAGAAAUCGUUGUCAACUUCAUAAAAAGACAAAUAGCAUCAGUGGCCACAGAUUGCAACUUGGAUUUAAACAAGGUUCGAGGUGCCGUCAACAAUACUAACAAAAUCCUCCAGGUCAGAUUGUUGAUUGGACCUGAUUUUAUUUAAAUGAUCUUGAUAAUCCAUUUUAUUUAAA